ACAUCAUGUUGAAACACCAGUUUUCAUACAAUCACCAAAGUUAAGCAACAUUGAACCUAGUUAGUACCUAGAUGGGUGACUGCUCAGGAAUACCAGGUGGUGUA